rnacentral:rRNA from 1 species
UUAGCUAGUUGGUGGGGUAAAGGCCUACCAAGGCGACGAUCAGUAGCUGGUCUGAGAGGAUGAUCAGCCACACUGGAACUGAGACACGCUCCAGACUCCUACGGGAGGCAGCAGUGAGGAAUUUUCUGCAAUGGGCGAAAGCCUGACAGAGCAAUACCGCGUGAAGGAUGAAGGCCUACGGGUUGUAAACCUCUUUUCUCAAGGAGGAAGAUCUGACGUUACUUGAGGAAUAAGCAUCGGCUAACCCCUGUGCCAGCAGCCGCGGUAAUACCGGGGAUGCAAGUGUUAUCCGGAAUUAUUGGGCGUAAAGCGUCCGAA